rnacentral:tRNA from 1 species
UGGGGGUUAUUUUAGUUAAAAUUUGUGAUUGUCAUUCACUAGAUCCCUAAUUUGAUAAGGGACCCCCAC